AGUCCAUGAUAUGGACAUUUUAGCAUCAUCUCCUUAAGUCGCUCUCAUGCUUCGAACAAUGAUUAUCUAUCCAUCUUCCUAAAGUAGGUGAUUUAGUUCCUGAAUU